rnacentral:rRNA from 1 species
UGAACGCUGGCGGCGUGCCUAAUACAUGCAAGUCGCGCGACCAGACGCGGAGCUUGCUCCUCUGCCGUUAGCGGCGGACGGGUGAGUAACACGUGGAUAACCUACCUAUAAGACUGGGAUAACUUCGGGAAACCGGAGCUAAUACCGGAUAAUAUAUUGAACCGCAUGGUUCAAUAGUGAAAGACGGUUUUGCUGUCACUUAUAGAUGGAUCCGCGCCGCAUUAGCUAGUUGGUAAGGUAACGGCUUACCAAGGCAACGAUGCGUAGCCGACCUGAGAGGGUGAUCGGCCACACUGGAACUGAGACACGGUCCAGACUCCUACGGGAGGCAGCAGUAGGGAAUCUUCCGCAAUGGGCGAAAGCUUGACGGAGCAACGCCGCGUGAGUGAUGAAGGUCUUCGGAUCGUAAAACUCUGUUAUUAGGGAAGAACAAAUGUGUAAGUAACUAUGCACGUCUUGACGGUACCUAAUCAGAAAGCCACGGCUAACUACGUG